AACGAACGCUGGCGGCGUGCUUAACACAUGCCAGUCGAACGGCCAGGCCCUGCUUUUGUGGGGUGCUCGAUUGGCGAACGGGUGAGUAACACGUGAGUAACCUGGCCUUGACUUUGGGAUAACUUCAGGGAACUGGGGCUAAUACCGGAUAGGAGCUCCUGCUGCAUGUUGGGGGUUGGAAAGUUUCGGCUGUUGGGGAUGGACUCGCGGCUUAUCAGCUUGUUGGUGGGGUAGUGGCUUACCAAGGCUUUGCCCGGUAGCCGGGCUGAGAGGGUGACCGGCCACACUGGGCUUGAGAUAAGGCCCAGACCCCUACGCGACGGAACAGAGGAGAAGAGUAUCUAAGGGGCGGAAGCCAGACGCAGCCUCGCCGCGUGGGGUAAGACGGGCAGCGGGUUGUAUUGCGAUUCCGUCUGAGAUGAAGAGAUAGUGACGGUACUGGGUAAAGAAGCACCGGCUAACUACGUG
rnacentral:rRNA from 1 species